CAAAGAGUAGUUAAAAUUAAAAUUCUGGCUUUGGGGGCCAGCGGUGGGAGUUAAAUUCUCCUCUCUUUGA
rnacentral:tRNA from 2 species